rnacentral:lncRNA from 1 species
CUCUCCCCCGAGCCCCCUCACCCCUUUUAAGGUGAAGGCCCUACUCAAUUCCUAUCGGAAUUGCGGCCUUCCUCGGAGAAGAUAUAUAUUUAUAAACCUACCGGGGGGCACUUCCCCCGGACCCCCUUCUCGAAUCAGGUUCCCCUCCGUGGUCACCUUUCGGGUCCCACUCCGGCCCCGCUUCGCUCCUUUUUAUCCAAUCCAACAAUCAUAUUCUGCUGCUUAACACACCAAUUAUGAUUUUUCCUCCAUACCGGGGGGAUUCUCAGAAAGCUUCUUCCCCCCCUUAAGAAUCCCCCCGGGUGGUGAAUCAGAGCAGAGUCGAGCCCUCGCCCCCCCGGGGGGCGGGGGGAUUUCCUCACAUUUGAAGGAUUCAAAUGCUGUUAUGCUUAUCUGAAGGAUUUCAGAUAAGUUGAAAAAGCUUAUCUGAAAGCUUUCAGAUAAGACUCAAGGUUAUAUAUAUUUUUACAUGCUUAUCUGAACUCUUUCAUAUGAGAGUAUAAGAGUUCAGAUAAGAGUAUGGUAAAGGCCUUAUUCAAUUCCUAUCGGAAUUGCGGCCUUGGAAGUGUUAUAUUUUCUUUAAAGCCCGCAGGGUUGAUUAAAGGGUGUUUUAACGCUAGUUAGAUCUUUUUACACGUCCGGAGGCGAACUAUGUUCGUUUCUCAAGUUUUUUCUAGUAAAAUUUAUAAAUUCUAUGUGUUUAUAAAAUAUCGUAGGUGAUGUUCGAAAUCCCUGAUGUUAUGAUUCUCGUGUGAGUAUGUUACUUUCUCGGAACCUCCGACAUUUACUGAGGAACGAAGUGUUCAGACAAGGGUUUUCUUUACUUUGACUUGGUUAAGUUGGUUUCUAGUAAGCAGGUCUAUGGGCGUAAGGCGACGAGCCGAACGAGAAUAAAGUCCUCAUAUUCUGGAUAAAGCCGAACCCGAACCAACUUAACGAGUUAGUUUUCCCCGGCCCUGGGGUAGUUUGUUCACUAUUUGGAUGCGUGUUUCAAGUGCAACUUGAGCAACCAUGGCCCGAGCGGCUCGCCCGCCAAUGUGCAGUAAGAGGUUGGUCUCACCAUGGAUGGGUUAUUGGAAAACUUCCAACGAACGGAGGUGGCAGCUAUUUAACCCCGCAACCUCUUUAGAAAUGUUCCUAGUAAAUGGCCUGCGUUCCGCGGCUUCGCUAGCUCGUGCAAUAUGUCGGUACUAUUCCGUCGGGCAGUAGAGGUAACUGAAAGCGCGUGCAAUCAAGUUCUCAAGGUUGUUACUUUUUGUUGGGAACUCAUUUAGGACAAGACGGCGGACAUUGGUGCUGGUAAACGAGUGGCUCUCGAACUGCCGGUAUCGUCACGUGGGGAAGUCUCGGCGUCGAUCGAGCUCCUCAGCUCAGAAGAGAGAAGAGCUCAGGCAAGUAGUGUGGAGGACAACCCGGACAUGAAACCUGAAGUGACUGCGAAGGCGAAAGCGACGGUGGCUCCAUACCGGGGGGACAACUCCUGGGGAUUCUUUGGGGCGGGAAAGAGAAGAUUCCGAUGAGAAUUAUUAUUGGUGGUGAUUUCGCGAUAGGUUGGGAAACGGAUUGGAAAAAAGGAAAUAAAAAAAGAGCUAUUUUUUUGCGGCGGCGGAGGGGAGGGGUUCCCCCUCUCCCCCGAGCCCCCUCACCCCCUUUUAAGGUGAAGGCCUUACUCAAUUCCUAUCGGAAUUGCGGCCUUCCUCGGAGAAGAUAUAUAUUUAUAAACCUACCGGGGGGCACUUCCCCCGGACCCCCUUCUCGAAUCAGGUUCCCCUCCGUGGUCCCCUUUCGGGUCCCACUCCGGCCCCGCUUCGCUCCUUUUUAUCCAAUCCAACAAUCAUAUUCUGCUGCUUAACACACCAAUUAUGAUUUUUCCUCCAUACCGGGGGGAUUCUCAGAAAGCUUCUUCCCCCCCUUAAGAAUCCCCCCGGGUGGUGAAUCAGAGCAGAGUCGAGCCCUCGCCCCCCCGGGGGGCGGGGGGAUUUCCUCACAUUUGAAGGAUUCAAAUGCUGUUAUGCUUAUCUGAAGGAUUUCAGAUAAGUUGAAAAAGCUUAUCUGAAAGCUUUCAGAUAAGACUCAAGGUUAUAUAUAUUUUUACAUGCUUAUCUGAACUCUUUCAUAUGAGAGUAUAAGAGUUCAGAUAAGAGUAUGGUAAAGGCCUUAUUCAAUUCCUAUCGGAAUUGCGGCCUUGGAAGUGUUAUAUUUUCUUUAAAGCCCGCAGGGUUGAUUAAAGGGUGUUUUAACGCUAGUUAGAUCUUUUUACACGUCCGGAGGCGAACUAUGUUCGUUUCUCAAGUUUUUUCUAGUAAAAUUUAUAAAUUCUAUGUGUUUAUAAAAUAUCGUAGGUGAUGUUCGAAAUCCCUGAUGUUAUGAUUCUCGUGUGAGUAUGUUACUUUCUCGGAACCUCCGACAUUUACUGAGGAACGAAGUGUUCAGACAAGGGUUUUCUUUACUUUGACUUGGUUAAGUUGGUUUCUAGUAAGCAGGUCUAUGGGCGUAAGGCGACGAGCCGAACGAGAAUAAAGUCCUCAUAUUCUGGAUAAAGCCGAACCCGAACCAACUUAACGAGUUAGUUUUCCCCGGCCCUGGGGUAGUUUGUUCACUAUUUGGAUGCGUGUUUCAAGUGCAACUUGAGCAACCAUGGCCCGAGCGGCUCGCCCGCCAAUGUGCAGUAAGAGGUUGGUCUCACCAUGGAUGGGUUAUUGGAAAACUUCCAACGAACGGAGGUGGCAGCUAUUUAACCCCGCAACCUCUUUAGAAAUGUUCCUAGUAAAUGGCCUGCGUUCCGCGGCUUCGCUAGCUCGUGCAAUAUGUCGGUACUAUUCCGUCGGGCAGUAGAGGUAACUGAAAGCGCGUGCAAUCAAGUUCUCAAGGUUGUUACUUUUUGUUGGGAACUCAUUUAGGACAAGACGGCGGACAUUGGUGCUGGUAAACGAGUGGCUCUCGAACUGCCGGUAUCGUCACGUGGGGAAGUCUCGGCGUCGAUCGAGCUCCUCAGCUCAGAAGAGAGAAGAGCUCAGGCAAGUAGUGUGGAGGACAACCCGGACAUGAAACCUGAAGUGACUGCGAAGGCGAAAGCGACGGUGGCUCCAUACCGGGGGGACAACUCCUGGGGAUUCUUUGGGGCGGGAAAGAGAAGAUUCCGAUGAGAAUUAUUAUUGGUGGUGAUUUCGCGAUAGGUUGGGAAACGGAUUGGAAAAAAGGAAAUAAAAAAAGAGCUAUUUUUUUGCGGCGGCGGA